rnacentral:ncRNA from 1 species
UUUCCGCUUCUUUCCUCCCUGAGCGGAAGCCUUUACGAUGAGGCCUGUUGCCCCGAUUUACCCCUUAAUCGGGGCUUUUUUU